GUGCUCACUUUGGCAGCACAUAUACUAAAAUUGGAAUGAUAAAGAGAAGAUUAGAAUGACCCCUGAACAAGGAUGCAAAUUCGUGAAGCCUUCCAUAUUUUU
rnacentral:snRNA from 1 species